rnacentral:rRNA from 1 species
UGGGGAAUAUUGCACAAUGGGCGAAAGCCUGAUGCAGCGACGCCGCGUGAGGGAUGACGGCCUUCGGGUUGUAAACCUCUUUCAGCAGGGACGAAGCGCAAGUGACGGUACCUGCAGAAGAAGCACCGGCUAACUACGUGCCAGCAGCCGCGGUAAUACGUAGGGUGCAAGCGUUGUCCGGAAUUACUGGGCGUAAAGAGUUCGUAGGCGGUUUGUCGCGUCGUUUGUGAAAACCAGCAGCUCAACUGCUGGCUUGCAGGCGAUACGGGCAGACUUGAGAACUGCAGGGGAGACUGGAAUUCCUGGUGUAGCGGUGAAAUGCGCAGAUAUCAGGAGGAACACCGGUGGCGAAGGCGGGUCUCUGGGCAGUAACUGACGCUGAGGAACGAAAGCGUGGGUAGCGAACAGG